rnacentral:rRNA from 1 species
GACGAACGCUGGCGGCGUGCUUAACACAUGCAAGUCGAGCGAUGAAGCUCCUUCGGGAGUGGAUUAGCGGCGGACGGGUGAGUAACACGUGGGUAACCUGCCUCAUAGAGGGGAAUAGCCUUUCGAAAGGAAGAUUAAUACCGCAUAAGAUUGUAGUAUCGCAUGAUGCAGCAAUUAAAGGAGUAAUCCGCUAUGAGAUGGACCCGCGUCGCAUUAGCUAGUUGGUGAGGUAACGGCUCACCAAGGCGACGAUGCGUAGCCGACCUGAGAGGGUGAUCGGCCACAUUGGGACUGAGACACGGCCCAGACUCCUACGGGAGGCAGCAGUGGGGAAUAUUGCACAAUGGGGGAAACCCUGAUGCAGCAACGCCGCGUGAGUGAUGACGGUCUUCGGAUUGUAAAGCUCUGUCUUCAGGGACGAUAAUGACGGUACCUGAGGAGGAAGCCACGGCUAACUACGUGCCAGCCGCCGCAGUAAAAC